rnacentral:rRNA from 1 species
UACGAAGGGGGGCUAGCGUUGCUCGGAAUCACUGGGCGUAAAGCGCACGUAGGCGGGUCCUUAAGUCAGGGGUGAAAUCCCGGAGCUCAACUCCGGAACUGCCUUUGAUACUGGGGAUCUUGAGUCCGGAAGAGGUGAGUGGAACUCCGAGUGUAGAGGUGAAAUUCGUAGAUAUUCGGAAGAACACCAGUGGCGAAGGCGGCUCACUGGUCCGGUACUGACGCUGAGGUGCGAAAGCGUGGGGGAGCAAACAGG